rnacentral:rRNA from 1 species
CAGUCGCCGCGGUAAUGCGUAAGUGGCAAGCGUUGUCCGGAAUUAUUGGGCGUAAAGGGCUCGCAGGCGGUUUCUUAAGUCUGAUGUGAAAGCCCCCGGCUCAACCGGGGAGGGUCGUUGGAAACUGGGAAACUUGAGUGCAGAAGAGGAGAGUGGAAUUCCACGUGUAGCGGUGAAAUGCGUAGAGAUGUGGAGGAACACCAGUGGCGAAGGCGACUCUCUGGUCUGUAACUGACGCUGAGGAGCGAAAGCGUGGAGAGCGAACAGGAUUAGAUACCCCUGUAGUCCCUGUCUCUUAUAC